rnacentral:miRNA from 1 species
AUAAUUGCCUGUAACUCCAGUUCUGAGGGAUGUGAUGCCCCCUUCUGGCCUCCUUGUGUACUGUAUGAUGCACAUGAUGCACAUACAUGCAUGCAGACAAUACACACACAGAUAAAAUAUAAAAAUAAACCUUG